rnacentral:rRNA from 1 species
UACGGGGGGGGCAAGCGUUGUUCGGAAUUACUGGGCGUAAAGGGCUCGUAGGCGGGUGCUCAAGUCCGGGGUGAAAUCCUCCAGCUCAACUGGAGAACUGCCUCGGAUACUGGGUGCCUCGAGGGUGGUAGGGGUAUGCGGAACUAUCGGUGGAGCGGUGAAAUGCGUUGAUAUCGAUAGGAACUCCGGUGGCGAAGGCGGCAUACUGGACCACAUCUGACGCUGAGGCGCGAAAGCCAGGGGAGCGAACGGG